rnacentral:misc_RNA from 1 species
AUGUUUGUAAGCUGUGAACUGAUGGGUGUGGCCAGUCACAAGAAUGUCUACGUCCAAUUGCCUUUGAAGCAUGGCUAAUGAGUCCAAGUCACCCCAUGGAACAACCUGGUGGCCAUGGCACAAUCCAAGCUUAAAUUGACCAAUCGUUAGAGUCUUAGUCUCAGGGUAACGUGUCUCCUCGUCAUACUCGCCUCUAGUAAUAUGCAAGUCAGGACAAAG